UUUUUAAAAUUAACCAAUGAAGACCUCGGGGACAUUGUGAAUAAACCAAGAGCAUCUUCACAUAAUAAAAGUGUCAAAAUUCAAGGAUCAACUAUCAGACAAGGACCAGGGGCAUGUGGGUUCAAAUUUCGGCAAAAAGAUUUAACAAAUAGAACGAGAGAAAACUCAGUGACGAAGCGACAUCAAGAGAACACAGUAUUGAGGUUGUCACCUGGUCAAAUGGAGCAUGUAAUUUGUAACUCGAGAGCCAGCUCUUUUGUAAAAGUGAGGAGUGUGGGCCGGCCAUUUUUCAUCGCACCCUACUCGUGAAUAAAUUCUCCAAGUGCAAUGAAAAAUUUCUUUCUUGUCGAUUUUUACUUGCCAAAAAGAACAAUAUAGUGCAGUUUUCCAGAAAUAAAUUAGAAUUCCAAUUCUGUGAUAAAGGUAUAAUGGGGCCCGGUUAAUCUUUUGAGAAGCUGAAUAAAACACGAAUUUCUAUUGUCGAUCUUUCCUUACAGAUGGAUGGCAGAAACAUUAAUUCCUCUUUUGUGCUUUCAAUAUAAUCACUUUGGCUUCCCCUUCUAUUCUUAAUCCACUUUUACACUUCUUCGUGUGCACUUCAAUCUAUCCGAGUCCCUUGCCCCAUCUGUUUACGAGUAGAGUUGGAGGAAAGAAAAAAAGGUAAAAAGAUGUAAAUGGUCCAGAGCCGUUGCAGAGACUGACGGGGAAACAGAAAA